rnacentral:rRNA from 1 species
UACGUAGGUGGCAAGCGUUGUCCGGAAUCACUGGGCGUAAAGCGCGCGCAGGCGGCGAUCUACGUCUGGGGUGAAAGCCCGGAGCUCAACUCCGGGACUGCCUUGGAUACGGGAUCGCUUGAGGAUUGGAGGGGCAAGGGGAAUUCCACGUGUAGCGGUGAAAUGCGUAGAUAUGUGGAGGAACACCUGUGGCGAAGGCGGCAUCCUGGACCGACAUUGACGCUGAUGAGCGAAAGCUAGGGGAGCAAACGGG